ACUCUCUUCUCCCUCACCAAGGCACCAUUUCUCUCAUCCCCUAUCUCCUCUCUUCUCCACUCACGGGCGAGACCCUCACCGCACCCUGAUGAUCGCUCCUGCUCCGACGGCCACAAGACUCGACUGACUCUGCCGACCUAAUGCUCCUAAGGUCCAGACGAUGCUAACCCCCACUCUCGGCUCCCUUACACUCGGCGAAGACCCGAAGCAGAACUAGGUGUUGGCAUGGGUGCUCGUGGGUGGCCGGCAGGUAGUGGAGCAGGGCGUGCACGAGCUGCUGCUCGUGGAUGGCCGAUAGGCGUGGGAUGCUGCUGGGUUGGGAAUGGUGAAGGCAUGGGUUGCUGCUCGGUUCUAGUGUUUCACGUGGGAGGCAGUUGUUGUGGCUUCAUGCGGGAGCUUGAAAUGGCAUGGGUGACAACCCCAAGGGGCUUCACGUGGAAGCACUCGGUUGGUGUGCUUCAAAACGGGUCUUGUAACCGGGUCACUUGUAAUGGGUCUAGUUUGGGCUUGUAAGAUGUAAAUGGACUUUAGACACUUAAUUUAGAUUUUGGAUCGAAUUUGGGCUUCAAUUUAUAUAUUG